rnacentral:lncRNA from 1 species
UCAAAGGUAAAAAUACUAAGGCGACAAGCAAUAACACAUAUGACAAGUUUGGGGGAAGCAUAUAAAUAAACGAAAGGCUCAAACAGAUCUCCUUUAGGCAAAGGAAAGCAAGUACUUAGCAUGAAUUUCAUGUACUUCUUAGAGUAUGAUUAAAACUUAAAGAUUUGAGACAGACUGAUCUAUUACAUAAUUCAGAUAGGAAGCCUGAC